rnacentral:tRNA from 1 species
GCCCGGAUGACCCUGCUCUGGGAUGCAGGCUUCAAACCUGUAGCUGUCUAGUGACAGAGUGGUUCAUUUCCACCUUUCGGGU